AAAACACUCCUACUCGUGUUUUAAAUACUGACUUAUUUUGCGUGUUUAUUUCAUCUUUAAAUACUUUACAUGCAAGGCAUCGACUAUUUCGCUGACCUCAGAAUGACAUUUCGUCAAAACUUUUUUCUACAAAAUUGGUUUAGAAACGAAUUUGUAGUAGGGUUAGGUUAGGUUUAGGAUAAGGGUUAGGGUCAGAGUUGGUGUUUGGAGUAGAGUUAGUGUUAGUAAAACCGUUGCUUUGUUACGUUUUGUCACUCUGAGGCCAGCGAAAUAAUCUCUUCCUAC